GGAAGUAAAGUCGUAACAAGGUCUCCGUUGGUGAACCAGCGGAGGGAUCAUUACCGAGUUUACAACUCCCAAACCCCUAUGUGAACGUUACCAAACUGUUGCCUCGGCGGGAAAUUCAUGCCCCGGGCGCGUCGCAGCCCCGGACCAAGGCGCCCGCCGGAGGACCAACCAAAACUCUUUUGUAUGUCCCUCGCGGACUUUUAUAAUUCUGAACCAUCUCGGCGCCCCUAGCGGGCGUUUCGAAAAUGAAUCAAAACUUUCAACAACGGAUCUCUUGGUUCUG
rnacentral:misc_RNA from 1 species